GUCGAACGCUGGCGGCGUGCCUAAUACAUGCAAGUCGAACGCAUUUUCUUUCACCGUAGCUUGCUACACCGAAAGAAAAUGAGUGGCGAACGGGUGAGUAACACGUGGGUAACCUGCCCAUCAGCGGGGGAUAACACUUGGAAACAGGUGCUAAUACCGCAUAAUUCCAUUUACCGCAUGGUAAAUGGAUGAAAGGCGCUUUUGCGUCACUGAUGGAUGGACCCGCGGUGCAUUAGCUAGUUGGUGGGGUAACGGCCUACCAAGGCUGCGAUGCAUAGCCGACCUGAGAGGGUGAUCGGCCACACUGGGACUGAGACACGGCCCAGACUCCUACGGGAGGCAGCAGUAGGGAAUCUUCGGCAAUAGACGCAAGUCUGACCGAGCAACGCCGCGUGAGUGAAGAAGGUUUUCGGAUCGUAAAACUCUGUUGUUAGAGAAGAACAAGGAUGAGAGUGGAAAGUUCAUCCCUUGACGGUAUCUAACCAGAAAGCCACGGCUAACUACGUG
rnacentral:rRNA from 1 species